AUGCCCGGUAUUAGACAAAUGCUAGUUUGCAUGCAUGUGAAUAAGUUAAGCAUUAACUAUAUUCUUAGGGGAGCAUGAGGAGUUUUCUGAUGGAUGGAAGCUCUAAAUAUAGACAGUGGAUCAUGUGAGAUUUUAUUUAUUUAUUGGAGAAUUUCAGGGAAGAAAGGCAAGCGAAAAACUAACAUGCCACACUGCCAGCUUCUGCUCUGCAGUCCUGACAGCUCCCUAUAUACAUGUGCUAAAUGGCUGCCAAAAUAUUGAAUGGAACAGAUGUUAAACCUGGCAUCUUCUCCUGAUUUUCAGAAUUUGCCUGACUGUUGAGAUGCACAAACAGACAGGGAGAAAGGCUGCACGCACACAGAGGAAAAUAUUGUCAUGGUGAAAUGGAAUGUCUGAACACCUAAAGCAGCUCAAGUGCACACUUUUUGCUUUGAGUUAAACCACCAAGAGCUUGACAGGUAAGAACGAGCAGGUGAGCAGGUGAACUCCUGACCUUUUCUUUCAGUGACCUGAGGAGCUGCAGAAAACAAAACUCAGAACCUGGUGCUCAUCUAAUUGGAAACCGGCUGAAGAGGCAACCGAUAUCCAGCAGUCAUCACACCAGAGUCAACUAAUUAGGUGCAUGACUCUAUGUCAGGGUAGAAAAAAACAAAAGGCUUGGUCUAGCCCAUUUGCCAUUCUUGUUCAGUGUAAAUUCUCCAUGGAAAAACAAACACAUAGCCUUCCUUAAUGUAUCUCCUGGCCUGAGGUUGAAAGCCUUGACCUAACAUUGUCUUUGUGACUGGAUAGAUUAGCAACCUGACUAUUGCACCCCCAUGAACCAUAAUCAUUAAAAACACAAUUCAAAGCUUUGUUUUCCUGAAGCUGCAGGAUUUCCUAAAUGUUUUGUUUGUAUAUUUUUAUUUGCUUCCUGUUUUUAGGUGUUAUUUAAUGACAUAGCUACAUGUUCUGUUGAAUGCUGUAGGAAUAACAACUCUUUAACUAUUUGUUCAUUUUAAACCACAAAAUGGACUGUUUAUGUUCUCGCUGUCCCUCCUGCUGCUCUUCCUUUAUCAUAUAUGCUUCUCCAGCAUAUAUAUUCUAUUCAGUAGGACCUUUAUUCUCCUGAUCACAGAGGGAGUGGAAUCCGUUCAACCUGAGAAUCCAAACCCCAGAAGGAGGAACCGUGAUGACUUGGCCUCUCAUCUUGAGCGAUAGGAGCUUCCUAGGUGCCCCACAAUCUUGACAUGCUUUUGAAGAGAAGCUUGAUGCUAGAGUACAUGUCACAAUCACCAAAUGAAUCAGUGCCCCCCAUGACAAGUUCUCUGCCCCCCCCCCAGUAACAUUUUGACAUUUAUGAGCACUUAAAACCUGAAGUCCACAGGCUGUGAAUAUCCCUGGUUCCAAAGCACACUAAUUUGAUUUCAUAGAAGGAACGCUGAAGGAAAUCGCCAUGGGCUACCUGGCACAUUGGGAAAUGUAUUUAGAAAUGCCCUGUGAAAGUGUUUCAGAGCUGCAGCAUUUCUCUUCUUUCCAGAACUGACAAAGAAACACCAGGGCACUGAGCCUGCAAUUUUAUUUUCUGAGUUAUAAUGUGUAAAGAAAACCACAACUUGAGUAUUCGUUUGGUCACCUGUAACAAAAUAAAAAAUAAAAAUAAGGUGCUAUGCUUGAAGGCCUAAUCAAGCUGGUCUGACAAAACCUUUCCUCUGAACACAUGUGUGGAGCUUUUUUGCUUCCCAUGGCAAGUAACAAAAAAAUAGGCUGAUGGGAGGAAGAGGUAAGUCAUGUCUGGAUCGGAUGCUGAGAAGUCAGAAUUUGAAAUAACUGAGAAGUGCCACACAGAAUUGGCAGAAUUUGGAAGAAGCCUUAGAACAGGCAUCCCCAAACUUCGGCCCUCCAGAUGUUUUGUACUACAAUUCCCAUCAUCCCUGACCACUGGUCCUGUUAGUGAGGGAUCAUGGGAGUUGUAGGCCGAAACAUCUGGAGGGCCGCAGUUUGGGGAUGCCUGCCUUAGAAGGACAAAAUGCCUGUUCAUGGGCAUAGGGAGUUAUAUAUUCAAUCUGGAUGGUCUGGGUAUGUAUGUAUGUAUGUAUGUAUGUAUGUAUGUAUGUAUGCAUGCAUUUCCUGCUGUUCCCCUACAGUCCCAGGGUGGGUUACACCAUUAAAACAACUUGCAAUCACAUUGACCAAUAUGGUGGCUAGUGAUGAUGCCGGUUGAGGAUGAUGGGAGUUGAAGGACACAGGUUCUCUAUCUCUGUACAGAGGCUUUCUAUACCAAUGGAAGGAGGUGCAGGCAGAAAUGGAGCAGUGCUAUAGGUACAUUUCUGAAGAUUAAUAUUGAGUAAUGUCUACUUUUUUACUUAUACCACACAUUUUUAACUGGUCACCAAAAAAAAAAAAGGGUAAGCAUUUCUCACAGACUGAGCAGUUCCCACUAUUGAUUUUCUGUUGGUAUUAAAAAACCAACAAGCCAGAAUUUUUUUUUUAAAUCGUUCCUAAAAGUGAGGGCUACACAGUGAUCAUGACAAUUAUGAUAAUAAGAAACCAACAGCAGCGGAAUAAUUAAAUCAAGAGAACAUAUUGUCUUUGUUAAUUAGUUGCUGGUUAUAAAUCCAAAGCUGUGUUUCUAUGCAUGUUUAAGUGGAAAGAAAUCACACAUCAAAUGAGGGUUUGCUUACAAACAUAUGCUUAUAUGUUCAAAUAGUUACCCAUCACGUUAGUGUGGCAGCACCUACAGUUUGGAACCCUUUGCCCAUUGACACUUGGCAGGUGUGUUUAUUGUGCUCUUCUCAGUGCCUGCUUGAAACACUUUUGCUUAGACCAACCUGUCUGGACGGGUGGAUGCGGACAUGUUUUAAUCUAUUUUACCAUUAAUUUUAAUUAUCUUUAAAUAUUUUUAACCAAUUUCAACAUUUACUGUUAAACCACCUAGGAGGUUUUAUUACAAUCAGGCAGCAUAUAAAUUUUAAAUAACACAUAUCAGGUAAGGGCCAUCGCUCAGCAGCAGGGCAUCUGCUUUAGAUGCAGCAGGUCCUGGGUUGACUCCCCAGCGAAUCCAGGUAGAGCUGGGAAAGAUUCCUGCUUGAAAACCCUGGGAGCUGAUCCAGUUAGUGCAGGCAUCCCCAAACUGCGGGCCCCCAGAUGUUUUGGCCUACAACUCCCAUGAUCCCUAGCUAACAAACAGGACCAGUGUUUGGGGAAGACGGGAAUUGUAGUCCAAAACACCUGGAGGGCCGAAGUUUGGGGAUGCCUGAGUUGGUGUAUACCAGUGUUUCUAGCUGUUCCCAGACUACAGUUCCCAUCAUCCUUGAUCAGUGGUCUUGCUAGCUAGAGAUGACGGGAGUUGUAGUCCAAAAACGAGUUGGAGACCCAAGUUUGGGAAACACUGGUGUAGACAUUACUGAGCUAGGAGAACCAAUGGAUCUGACUCUGUAUCAACCAGUUUCCAGUUGCUACAAUGAGUGAGAUAUUCAUCCCUUUGGGUGAAUCCUUGAGAAAAGAAUAGAUCUUAUAUUGUACCAAAAGUAGUGGAGAGAUCAGUUCCACAUGAGAAGUGAAUGACAUAAAAUUAGCAAGAUUAGAUGCCAGGGGCUAAAUCAACACAAUUAGAUGGAAGGGACUAAAAGGUCAGUGCAUUUCAAAAGGUUGAUAUUUAUGUUGAUGCUUUCCUGCUGAUGGACAUUGAAUGUGCUUUUGCUGCUGUCUAUUUUUACACUUACAUGGUUUUAGUCUGCUGAUCCUGCUUUUUCUCGCUCUGAUGAUUUUUUAGAAUUGUUCUGUUUUAGAUGAUGUUUCUUAUUAUUUUGUUAUUUGUAAUGUUAUAGAUGUUGCAAGGGGAGACUGUGGAAGGCAGUCUUUGUAAUGCGACAAAUAAUAAAUAAAUAAAUAAAUAAGGCAACUGGGUGGCAAAUACACAGCACAAACAUGCCUUUCUGAAGAACAGAAUUUGCUAAAUUUUAGGAGAGAUUGGUUCAUUCUCUCUUCUACCUCACCCUUGGCUGCACAGGAGAGAGCAUCCACAUUCUUCUCAGCUUUGAUGUUUUCCCCCUGACAGGCAUACUGCCAAUAGUUGCUUCUGGCACCACUUGGAUAGACACAUUGAGAUGCUCCUUGCCUGUGCAGCUUCCACACAAACAGUGGAAGAGGCCUACAGAGGUUUUCAGAGCUGUGUGGAAAGACACCUUGGCCCCAUCCUGACCUUUUCCAGCAUGGCAGAUCAGGGGGUUGAUUUGCUCUCUUAGACUCCUCUCCAUCAUUCCAUAUGGAGCUCUACUCUGCCUCUCUUUUCUCUCUCCUCUAUCCGUGAAGUUUAUGGUCUAGGUAACACAUGGGUGGUUUAAUGUUAUUAACCCUUUCUAUUCUGUAUGCUUCAGCAGUGGCAUUUCAAGCUGCAAAACCAUUUUGUUGCUUCAGAAAUCAUUUUAUGUUGGUGUGUGAUCACCUUCUUCCCAUAAUUUUAUUGCUCUCUCUCUCUCUCUCUCUCUCCCUCCCUCCCUCCCUCUCUGCAAAGUUGUGGUUAUUGCCAAAGCAGGCAAACUAAUACUGUUUCCAUAUUGGGCAGCUCUAUGCUUUCCAAAGUUAGCCAGGUAUCAUUAGCCAAUGCAGUUUUGUCUGUGUGUUCCCAAUGGGCUCCAGUCAAGAUCCCAAGAGUAGUAUUGCUAACACCACCACCCCAAAUUAGCUUCUCUGCCACUACAAGUGCAAGACAUGUGUUCAUGCAAAUGUGUACAGGCACGCUAGCAAACGUGACAACAGAAGGGAACACAGAGUUGUGAAUCCCAACCAGCCAGAAUGUUGUUCUCUCAGCUAGCUUCAGGAAUUCAAGGAUGUGAAGCUCAAAACAAAACAAAACAACAGAGCUAUGUUAAGCAUCAGCAAUAUUUGUCAUAUUGUAUACAUGCAUGUGCUAGGAACAUAAUAAUUUCCUUCGUAUUUCUGACCAAAGACCAUCUGUUCCAGUAUUGUAUUUCAGCUGUAGCUAGAUCCAGAGGGAAACUCAGAAUGGAUACCCCAUUUUUUUUUUGUUCUAGCACCUGGUGCCCAGAUUUAAGCUGUUAAUAGCCAUUGACAGGCAUUUUCCAUGAAUGGGUCUAAUUCAUUUGCUGGGUGUAUGUAAGGAAACUGACACUGGGGACAGUGCGGAAUCAGAAGUCACGGUGUGUAUCUCCCUACCUGUGCAAUGCAGGGAUGGGGAACCUGAGGCCAUGCACUCCUUGUUGGACUACAAGUACCAUCAUUCCUAACUAUUGGAGAUGGUGGUUUGUGCUGAUGUGAAGUUUAAUGUUCCCCAUCCCUGAUAUAAUGAAAUAGGCUGCUUAGUAGGUGCCUCAAUAAGCUUUAAUCAGUUAGCAAGUCAGGGACGGACCACCUCCGGGAAGGGCUUUUCCAUCUCCCCAUCCCUAGAGUGAUCUACCAUCAACCGUUCUAGUCUGAGUAAAUGUUGGUUCCGUACAACUCAAUGUGUUUUAAAGUUUCUUGUAAGCUACCUCCUUAUAAGUAUUGUAUGCCAAACAGAAUAUACUAGUAGGAUCUAUCAUGGUAUCAGAUCAGAUCAGAAUGGCAAGGUGGAUGCAAACUUUUCUCAUGGUGCAUACUUUUUUCAUAAUUAUAUGAAGCUAGGAAUAUCAUUAAAUCUUUCACCAUUUAAUGAAGGAUCUCUUGUUUCAGUAGCUUCAGGAAGCAGCUGCCCAUGGGAAAGAGUAAUUACUUUUAGUGAACCUACUACUGGUGACCAUAGCUGCCAAGUCUCCCGUAUUCCCCGGGAAACCCCGUUUUUCCAGCCAUUUCCCGCUGCCAGCCCGGAUUUUUUAAAAAAACCGUAAAUCCCUGGAUUCUUACCGGCCCGGGGAGGCUCCUUCUGCACAUGUCUGGAGUCUCUGGACAUGCGCAGAAGCGAUUUCUGGCGCUGCAGCCAUUUUGGAAAUGGGCAGAGCAUGCAUAGAAGUGACUUCCGGUGCUGCUCUGCCCAGUUCCAAAAUGGCCACAGUGUGACUUCCGGUGCUGCGCCGCUGCCGAUCCCAGAUUUUUCAAUCUGGGAGUUGGCACCUAUGCUCGUGACCAGCGAGUGAGUCUAUCCAAUGGCUAGUUUUUUCCUAGUAACCAUGCUGGAACUGGAGGUAACUCUCAUGUAACAAUGGCUGUCACAUAAAGCAAGCUCACCCAGCAAUGCCGGGGUUUGGGUCAAGUGACAUUUGGCAAACUUAAUCAGUGUCUCAUUGAUUAUUUCAUCAAGAAAACUUUGCUCACACUGCAGCUAGAUUAUGAUGGAUGCACUAUGAAAAUACUUGUGAUGGAUUCCAGAGUUUAUUGGAGCAAAAACUGACAUGAAUGCAAUAUAGGGACCAUUUUCAAUGCACCUAAAUGGCUGUGUGAUUUUCAAUCAUGUCUUGCUCCCACAGCUGUCUCUGUUUAAUAAUAUUAAUCAUUUCUAUAGGACUUUCCAAUGUACAAAGUGUUGUACAGUUUUUUUAAUCACAUUUCUCAUUGUCCUGCCCUGAGGAAAUAUUGGAACCUGGAUCUCUCACAUCAGAGCUCAAUAAACUACCCACCACAACAUAUAGGGCAACAUAUAAAAAGUAACAAAUGAAUGAGUUGAGUACCUAAAUUAACCAGUGAGGUCCACAUAGCCACCUGUGGGAAGAGGUGUUCUUUAUCAUGCCACGUGUCCUGGGCAGUAGCUCAGGUCCCAAACUAGAAGAAGAGGAUCCUGACAGAUCAGAGUGACCAGCAUCAAAUGCCACAGAAGAGCUAGACCAGAGGGAACGCUGCAGACGCUGCGGCACUGAAACUCCCUUCAACAACUGACACCUAGUCAUGUAGUUUAGCCAAGGUUUUAGCAUUGUUCAAAUGUCCAUAUAAGCCAGGGCUCCAAGCAAAUUUUCCUAUCCACCAGCUUACCAAUUUAGCAUUCUGGCAGUUUAGCAACCCAAUGAGGAUGCAAAUCAUUCCUUCAGAAUGUUUUGAUUUCAUUUCUUCUUUUUUUCUUUUGUGAGCUUAGGUUAAGGGUAGAAACCUCCUUGUGUUCAACUGUUAGUACACAUCAGGUUCAUCAUUGCUCAGUACAGUCUCACUCGUCCCCUCGUCAUUCCAUUCACUCAUCAGCAACAGUACAUCACAAAUCACCACACCUGUCCACAGAAAUCAGAUUGGAUAAGCACAGAGGGAAUAUAAUAAUUUGAUUUUUCUGAAAAGCAUGCCCACUCAGAAGUCCCAUUAAGUUCAAUGGAGCUUACACCCAGGUAAGUGGGCACAAGACUGCCACCAUCAAUCCCUUAUGCAACUGUAUUGAACCAGAAAUAAGUGAAUAGGUUCUUUAUUUUCUUCCCCCUUUCUUUGAUACCCUUUUCUCUGACCUUGAGUUUCUUUCUUUAAAGAGAUCAACCCAGUUCCCUUUUCAUUAUAAACUGGGGAAAUCAAGCUUGUUUCAUGUGGGUUGUUUGUUAUUGCAUUGAUAGUUGAGGCUGCAGAAACAGAGUGGGGUUUAUUCUUAUUACAUGUCUGGUAUAUUGCUUUGUAUAGGAGGUUUCCAUACUAUCUGGAAGAUAAUGUCUGUGCGGGGUGGGGAUGGAGGACAUAGAAAGUUGUUUCACAGCAGCUACACAUCAACUUUCUAAUCCCAAUGUCCAUUGGAGAAAGAAUUAAACAUGUGUAAGUUUUUUUCCAAAUUUGUGUCUUUGGGUCUGGACCUCAUAACUUUUAAGUAAUGGGCCUGGCUGCAAGAAUUGGGCAGAAAGAGAAUUCCCAGCUCUUUUGCAAUCUAAUUGUAAACGUAAAGGUAAAGGGACCCCUGACCAUUAGGUCCAGUCAUGACCGACUCUGGGGUUGCACACUCAUCUCGCGUUAUUGGCCGAGGGAGCCGGCGUAGAGCUUCCAGGUCAUGUGGCCAGCAGGACAAAGCCGCUUCUGGAGAAACCAGAGCAGCACAUGGAAAUGCCAUUUACCUUCCCGCUGUAGCAGUACCUAUUUAUCUACUUGCACUUUGACAUGCUUUCAAACUGCUAGGUUGGCAGGAGCUGGGACCAAGCAAUGGGAGCUCACCCCAUCGCAGGGAUUUGAACCGCCGACCUUCUGAUCAGCAAGCCCUAGGCUCUGUGGUUUAACCCACAGCGCCACCUGCGUCCCAGGUAAUCCAAUUGUAACCCUAUGCUAAAAUUAUGUAAUGCAAGGAACAUGUUAUGUAGGACUGCUGAAGAUGCAAACAAAAAUAACAGGCAGUCCUUAUCAUUAGCUAGGAUAAGAUGGCAGUUUUCUGGUACCAUUUAAGGGUAGCAAACUGUCAAUUAUUUGGCUUGUUAUAAUAGCAUAAUAAUGUUUUUCCAUCACUGGAGGUACUUAUGCCCAUCUGUUGUCAUUUGGAUUUUCUGCUUAGGGCGCUGAUAUAUCUGUGACAGGAUUUAGUUUAGUUACUAGCCACUAUUUAAAACCUGUUUACCUUACAAGGAACCGUAUCUGUAGCAAGCAGUAACAUAGUGUGGAGUUGUAAUUUCUUCAUGCUGCUCUUCUUAUAAUGUAGUAAUGAUCACUCAUUACCAAUUUCCAACACAGUUCUGGAGAGGGUCACAGUGAACAUUCAUACAUUUUGCAAAGGCAUGGGGUCUAACAUGCCGUGUUUUUCUUACCUUGAAUAUUGAUUGCCUUACUGUAAUGUAUGUUGGAGCCCUAAUAAGAAAAAAAAGGGGGGGACGGACUUGGAUGGUCUAUAGCAGUUUAUUAGUAAGGCUGAGAGGAAAUAAUGAAGCAGAGCAGAAAUAAUUACAGUUAGCACAUAUUUAAUUGAUGUGAGAAUGAUAGUAACACUGUGAAUAUUUGGACAGAUUUGUUAAAGCGUCUGGCACAAUUUCUCAACUCUCCAGUAGGGCUUUAAAUAAGACAUUUAAAUCGAAGCCUGCAUUUUUAACCCAUUGUAAACAAAGAAAAAAAAUGCAGAAGUGGGGAGGAGUCUCAGAAAUGUCCCUGUAACACUGCAGCAUUUAGAAUGCAUUUCUUGGAUCUUGCCUGUGUCUACUGCAUUUGUAAGGAUUUCCAAAGUGUAUCACCUGUGUCAGCAACAUGUAGCCAUGAACUGUCAGUAGUGGAUGCUGAGAAAUUGAGCACAAUUUACUAAGAGUGCCUCCAGGCCGUCACUAUAUUGUGGGAGGAAUUCAAGCACACGCCAGAAAUUAAGUUUUCUGCAAUUAAAGUGGACUAAAGGGCUCUAUUACCCUAGCACAACAUUUCCUUUUUCAAGGAUUUGCACUCAAGUGAGUGACAGGGAAAUGCAGUGAAAAGUGUGGGGUGAGCAAAUGAUUAGUGGGAAGACAUAUCAACAACCCUCAAGCAAAUCAGGACGGAUGCUCAUUGACAUAUCACUGCCUCCACAAACAAAUCAGAAUGAAUACUUGAUAAAGACCAGGCAUAGUUUAAUAAGGCACCUUCUGUUUUAACCUUUAAAUGUCUGCUGAAAAAUUUUCUGUGCCACCAAGCUUAUGCAAGCAGUUAAGAGCUUUGGUUUGUUGAAGACCUCUGGUUUUAGAAUUUUUAACGUGGUUUUUAAUUGUAGAUUUGUAUGGUUUUUGUAAACCACUUUGAUUUUUUUUUAAUGACUAGCAGUAUAUAAGUACUUUUGUAUAAAUAAAUAAGCAAGUUUUGCAUAAGCAAAUCAGGAUGAAUGCUAGAUAAACAGGUCAACUGAAGGAGUCCUAACGGGAAAUCACUCAGGAUAUUUAGAAUAUUUUAAAUAUGCACCUAAAAAUGUUAAUUAUUUAGAGAUAUACUCAUGUGAGGCCUGCAGGUAUCUGCUGGGUACACUCUGUGAUACGAUUUGCUUUGAUUUGAUGUGUGAAUAGGACUCUUCUGUACAAAAAGCAGAAAUUUCAAAUGCAAGGUAAUGUCUAUCCUCAUAACAACCUGUCUAUGCACUGAGGUCAUCAUUAGAGGCUCUCAUCCAGAUGCCCUGUCAUCUGUGAGUCCACCUUGCACGUUUUUGCUUGUGCAUAAUACAUUGACACGAAGAGUCAGACACGACUAAACGACUAAACAACAAACAAAUACAUUGACCACAACUGUGUUUCAAUAUGGGUGUCUUUCUAUAACAGAGUUGCGGAUAUUGUGGAGGCUACAUAAACAUAAUCAAAGUAAUGGUAAAAGGUUUCAUCUAUACACUAACAGGAUGAUAAAGGUGUCACGUCAGAGAGAUAAAGACAACACAAGCAGUGGAAGCAAACUGGGAGGGGGGGACUCCAUUCAUAUUUUUUAAAACAUACACAGAACAACUCAGUUUUACAAUUUCUCUCUAAAAUUCUGGCUAAAAUGGCAGUGAGCAAAAUAUCGUUUGCAAAUGAAAUACAUUUCAGAGUUGUUUAGACGUUUAGUCGUGUCCGACUCUUCGUGACCCCAUGGACCAGCACACGCCAGGCACUCCUGUCUUCCACUGCCUCCCGCAGUUUGGCCAGACUACAUUUCAGAGUACAAAACAGUAAUUCUACAUAUCUUUCACAGUCUUUGAUGAAAGGGAUUAUACAUACAUAUAUAUUUCUUCGAAAGUGCUGCAUUUAUUCCAAUGUCCAUUUCAUGCUAAGGCGACUUUCACCAUUAUAACAUAAUUAUAGAAGAACAAGAAAUCCCUUAUUGAUGCCAAGAUCUCAUUUAAGUGUUUACAUGUUUCCCAGUUAGAUUGCACCUUGUAUUUGAUCUGGCUUUUGUUGUGGUUACUGAUAGUUAUCCUAUCUCACUAAUGCGUUUACUGAAAUCUCAUUACUGGAAGUGCAUUUGUAAGAAAGCUCUGAAAGAAGGCAUAAGCCCCUUGAUUUGUACAGACAGCAAGUGUGACAAACAACUUAGAUAAGCAGCACAAAGGGAAAGAUCCAGAAAAAAGAGGUCUAAAACAGGCAUCCCCAAACUUGGCCCUCCAGAUGUUUUGGACUACAAUUCCCAUCAUCCGUGACCACUGGUCCUGUUAGCUAGGGAUGAUGAGAGUUGUAGUCCCAAAACAUCUGAAGGGCCGCAUUUGGGUGCCUGGUCUAAAAUGUUAUGCACCAAAAUGCUUGCAUGGAGUAGGAUAGCCAUUUGCCCUACUUUGCAGAGUACGACCUCCCAUUUGCCACAGGACAGUCCUCUGUUUGAAGGGCUAACAAGAUCAAUUCAAAGGCAAAGCACCCUAAGGAGGAGGAUGUUCUUCAGAAGUUGUUCCCUGAUAGCUACCUCAUGGACAAGAGGCUGAGCAAGCAGUCAAUUCACAUAGUCACAGUCUUUCUCACAAUGGCAUAUGUAUAUGUCUAUUUAAAUUAUAGCAAUUAUUUCUAAAUUAUCUCCACAUCUAAAUUAGCAUCUGCAGAUAUUAUAAAAAAACGGUGUGCCCUCCUUCAUCCCUCAUUUUGACAGUGAUAAGUGGCCACCUUACUUCUAUGCCAGAUGGGGAAUGGGCUACAAUGAACUACCGUACCCCUGAGGAUAGGUGAGGAGUUUUGAAGCUGAGAUUAAGUUUACUAUUUUCAUUCCUGGCACAACUAUACAGAGCUGCUGUGGUUUUUAAACAAUAUUUUAAUCUUACAGCCAACUACUGAUAGCAUCAGCAUUGGAUUACAUCUCGUUUGCAAGGAGAAAUUAUCUCGCUUGCAACAGGCAAAGCUGUUUCAAAGCAAAAACCCUUGCUUAUCAAAGUGUUAGUAUUCUGCUUUCCUUUCUCACUUGUGUGGUCUCCUCACACACACCCCAAACGGUGAGGUCAGAAUUGUGUGAACUUUACAUGGUUAAUGAACCUUUUACAAAAGCAAAUGCAACAAAGCAAUCACAAGCUGCUCACAGCUGAAAGCAAAACCAUAUAAGUGGGAAUACCAAUAAGUAAGAAAUAACCACUUCUCUUUGAAAAGAGGCCAACCAUUUCUCUUUGAAAAGCACGCUGGAAAUGUUUUGGGAACAUUUAUUUGUCCUAAAGAAGUAACUAUUUUUUUUUUCCUGAAAAGAAGGACUGGAAAAGCUCUGUUGAGAACAGGGAUGUUGGAAGGCAUCAAUUUCCAUUCUGCCCUGUUUCUGGGGGGGAAACAAACCCUAUCCUAUUAACCGGGAUCAGGACACUGGAAGAAUAAGCAAACAUCAGCAAUUUCUGCUCCUGUUUCCCCUGGAAUUCUCUAACAUCCGAAGUUGGGAAGAGAAGCAAGAUGCGAGGUUAUUAGUUCAGGGGCUU